UCUAGCGACUAGAGUUUGAUCAUGGCUCAGGAUGAACGCUGGCGGCGUGCUUAACACAUGCAAGUCGAACGAUGAAGCUGGAGCUUGCUCCGGUGGAUUAGUGGCGAACGGGUGAGUAACACGUGAGUAACCUGCCCUUGACUCUGGGAUAAGCACUGGAAACGGUGUCUAAUACCGGAUACGAACUUCAGCCGCAUGGCUAGGAGUUGGAAAGAAUUUCGGUCAAGGGUGGACUCGCGGCCUAUCAGCUAGUUGGUGAGGUAAUGGCCCACCAAGGCGACGACGGGUAGCCGGCCUGAGAGGGUGACCGGCCACACUGGGACUGAGACACGGCCCAGACUCCUACGGGAGGCAGCAGUGGGGAAUAUUGCACAAUGGGCGCAAGCCUGAUGCAGCAACGCCGCGUGAGGGACGACGGCCUUCGGGUUGUAAACCUCUUUUAGUAGGGAAGAAGCGAAAGUGACGGUACCUGCAGAAAAAGCACCGGCUAACUACGUGCCAGCAGCCGCGGUA
rnacentral:rRNA from 1 species